AGUGAACGCUGGCGGUAGGCCUAACACAUGCAAGUCGAACGGCAGCACAGUAAGAGCUUGCUCUUACGGGUGGCGAGUGGCGGACGGGUGAGGAAUACAUCGGAAUCUACUUUUUCGUGGGGGAUAACGUAGGGAAACUUACGCUAAUACCGCAUACGACCUACGGGUGAAAGCAGGGGAUCUUCGGACCUUGCGCGAUUGAAUGAGCCGAUGUCGGAUUAGCUAGUUGGCGGGGUAAAGGCCCACCAAGGCGACGAUCCGUAGCUGGUCUGAGAGGAUGAUCAGCCACACUGGAACUGAGACACGGUCCAGACUCCUACGGGAGGCAGCAGUGGGGAAUAUUGGACAAUGGGCGCAAGCCUGAUCCAGCCAUACCGCGUGGGUGAAGAGGGCCUUUGGGUUGUAAAGCCCUUUUGUUGGGAAAGAAAAGCAGCAGGUUAAUACCCCGCUGUUCUGACGGUACCCAAAGAAUAAGCACCGGCUAACUUCGUG
rnacentral:rRNA from 1 species